CUGUUAUCAAGAAAGGCGGAGGGACUAGACCCUGUGAAACCUUGGCAACCCUUUCCAAAAUGGAAAAGAAGGUGCUACAUUCUAUCCUGUAAAUAAGGACAGAUAACUG
rnacentral:ncRNA from 1 species